GAGCACCCCUUGGCAGCACUUACGUUAAAACUGUCAUGGUGCAGAGAAGGUGACCAUAGCCCUGUGCAAGGAUGACACACAAAUUCACAAAGUGCUGCAUAUUUUU
ensembl:snRNA U6 U6 spliceosomal RNA